AACGCACCUUGCGCCCUUUGGCUAUUCCGAAGGGCAUGCCUGUUUGAGUAUCAUAAACACCUCAACUCUCAUGGUUUGCCAUGAUGAGCUUGGACUUUGGGGGUCUUGCUGGCCUGUGGUCAGCUCCUCUCAAAUUAAUCAGCUUUCCAGUGUUUGGUGGCAUCACGAGUGUGAUAAAUAUCUACGCUUGUGGUUUCCUGCCAGGUAACCUUCAGUGAUGGAGGUUCGCUGGGGCUCAUAAAUGUCUCUCCUCAGCGAAGACAGCUUUGUAAAUGUUUGAUCUCAAAUCAGGUAGGACUACCCGCUGAACUUAA
rnacentral:misc_RNA from 1 species